rnacentral:rRNA from 1 species
UAUGGAGAGUUUGAUCCUGGCUCAGGACGAACGCUGGCGGCGUGCUUAACACAUGCAAGUCGAGCGAUGAAGUUUCUUCGGAAAUGGAUUAGCGGCGAACGGGUGAGGAACACGUGAAGAAUCUGCCCUCCGGCCACACUGGGACUGAGACACGGCCCAGACUCCUACGGGAGGCAGCAGUGGGGAAUAUUGGGCAAUGGAGGAAACUCUGACCCAGCGACGCCGCGUGCGGGAUGAAGGCCUUCGGGUUGUAAACCGCUUUCAGUAGGGAAGAAGCGAAAGUGACGGUACCUACAAAAGAAGCACCGGCUAACUAUGUGCCAGCAGCCGCGGUAAUACAUAGGGUGCAAGCGUUGUCCGGAAUUAUUGGGCGUAAAGAGCUCGUAGGUCGUUUGUUACGUCGGAUGUGAAAACCUGAGGCUCAACCUCAGGCCUGCAUUCGAUACGGGCAAACUAGAGUUUGGUAGGGGAGACUGGAAUUCCUGGUGUAGCGGUGGAAUGCGCAGAUAUCAGGAGGAACACCAAUGGCGAAGGCAGGUCUCUGGGCCAAUACUGACACUGAGGAGCGAAAGUCUGGGGAGCGAACAGGAUUAGAUACCCUGGUAGUCCAGACCGUAAACGGUGGGCACUAGUUGUGGGAACCUUCCACGGUUUCUGCGACGCAGCUAACGCAUUAAGUGCCCCGCCUGGGGAGUACGAUCGCAAGAUUAAAACUCAAAGGAAUUGACGGGGCCCC